rnacentral:rRNA from 1 species
UACGUAGGGUGCGAGCGUUAAUCGGAAUUACUGGGUGUAAAGUGUGCGCAGGCGGCCGCGCAAGUCGAGUGUGAAAGCCCCGGGCUUAACUUGGGAAUUGCGCUCGAAACUACGUGGCUGGAGUGUGGCAGAGGAAGGUGGAAUUCCACGUGUAGCGGUGAAAUGCGUAGAGAUGUGGAGGAACACCAAUGGCGAAGGCAGCCUUCUGGGCCAACACUGACGCUCAUGCACGAAAGCGUGGGGAGCGAACAGG